GUGCUCCCUUUGGAAGCACAUAUACUAAAAUUUGGAUGAUACAGAGAAGAUUAGCAUGGCCCCUGCACAAGGAUGACACACAAAUUCGUGAAGCAUUCCAUAUUUUU
rnacentral:snRNA from 1 species